UACGGGGGGGGUAAGCGUUGUUCGGAUUUACUGGGCGUAAAGGGCGCGUAGGCGGCCUCUGCAAGUCGACUGUGAAAUCUCCGGGCUUAACCCGGAACGGUCAGCCGAUACUGCAGGGCUAGAGUGCAGAAGGGGCAACUGGAAUUCUCGGUGUAGCGGUGAAAUGCGUAGAUAUCGAGAGGAACACCUGCGGCGAAGGCGGGUUGCUGGGCUGACACUGACGCUGAGGCGCGAAAGCUAGGGGAGCGAACGGG
rnacentral:rRNA from 1 species